rnacentral:rRNA from 1 species
AGAGUUUGAUCAUGGCUCAGAAUCAACGCUGGCGGCGCGCUUAACACAUGCAAGUCGCACGAGAAAGUGGAGCAAUCCAUGAGUACAGUGGCGUACGGGUGAGUAACACGUGGAUCAUCUACCUCUUAGUGGGGAAUAACCCUGGGAAACCGGGGCUAAUACCGCAUAAGCUCGAGAGAGGAAAGCAGCAAUGCGCUGAGAGAGGAGUCCGCGGCCGAUUAGCUAGUUGGCAGGGUAAACGCCUACCAAGGCAAAGAUCGGUAGCCGGCCUGAGAGGGCACACGGCCACACUGGCACUGAAACACGGGCCAGACUCCUACGGGAGGCAGCAGUGGGGAAUCUUGCACAAUGGGGGAAACCCUGAUGCAGCGACGCCGCGUGAGCGAUGAAGCCCUUCGGGGUGUAAAGCUCUUUCGGCAGGGACGAUCAUGACGGUACCUGCAGAAGCAGCUGCGGCUAACUACGUGCCAGCAGCCGCGGUAAUACGUAGGCAGCGAGCGUUGUUCGGAGUUACUGGGCGUAAAGGGUGUGUAGGCGGUUGCUUAAGUUUGGUGUGAAAUCUCCCGGCUCAACUGGGAGGGUGCGCCGAAUACUGAGUGACUCGAGUGCGGGAGAGGAGAGUGGAAUUCCUGGUGUAGCGGUGAAAUGCGUAGAUAUCAGGAGGAACACCGGCGGUGUAGACGGCUCUCUGGACCGUAACUGACGCUGAGACACGAAAGCGUGGGUAGCAAACAGGAUUAGAUACCCUGGUAGUCCACGCCCUAAACGAUGCAUAUUUGGUGUGGGUCAUUCAGUUGAUCCGUGCCGGAGCUAACGCGUUAAAUAUGCCGCCUGGGGAGUACAGUCGCAAGGCUGAAACUCAAAGGAAUUGACGGGGGCCCGCACAAGCGGUGGAGCAUGUGGUUCAGUUCGACGCAACGCGAAGAACCUUACCUGGGCUCGAACGGCUGGUUACCGGCGGUGGAAACAUCGCUAC